CCUCCGUGUACAGUCACGCAGUCAUGGCCAUGUCGACUUCUCCAAUAAGCUGCCUCCAUGACGGGACGCUCUUGAUGCAAUUCUUCUGAGAUAGGAAGUUGUGGUCAUUUGCUUGCAACAUGUGUCCCGACGUCUUAUUGCCAUUGGGAGAUGAUGGACGGCGCAGCGCUUGAUGGAUGUGCUAGCAGCUUUUAAGAAACAUCAGUCACAUUUUCAGCAUGUGGGCAGUUCAUGUGUCAAGUUGCCAGUGACAUCAACAAAAGCAGGGGAGUAAGGAGAGAUACGCUCGCUUAUAGCUGAAAAUACAGAUACAUCCACCACUCUGAAUUCGUGUCUGCCACAGAUGACAGUAUUAACCCUACAGAGUCCAUGGAUGUGCAGAAAUGACCGAUUAAAGAAAGCGAAAAAGGGUGUCAAAAGUGCAGACUCAAAACAAUAUAGCAUUUACCACAGCCCUCAUUACAGUAUCUUGCACUUUAAUCUGGACAUCGUUGGUAUAAAAUGGAUGCUCAUUGGAUUCAUGAGUACAUGAUCUUGAUUUGUGUGUAUCAACGUGCUGUUCGAGUAAGUAGGGUUUUAUGUAAAGCAUGCAAGCAUUAUUAUAAUUUCAACUGUGUUGAAUCCUUGCAUCAACUGCAAGCGGUUCACUCACAAUAACUUGAACUCCAAUGUUUCCCUGUGUUCAGAACAUGCAUUUAAACAACGCUGUCUCUCCAAACUCUAACGUUUAUGCUUUUAUUCUUCACCAACAGCCCAACAGACCUUCUAGAUGCACAAUAAAAGCUUCCUCCAAACUCUGCAGCUGCUCUUCCAAGCUGGCUCUGAUCCAUCUGUCCGAGAUCAACCGUUUUAUCGGAUUAUCAUUGACAGGGAGUCUAGACCUGCUGAGAGAGGCACUUUCCCUCCUGAUUCUGGAUCUGACAUUGGGACCGACAACAAACAAGUCUAUUCCACAGGGAGAACAGCUCUCUGUAAUCCAUACUGACCUUCCCUGGCUGCAAUUCAGCUUUAUUUUUAGUUGAGCUGAAGAGGACAAACCUAAUCGUCUAUUGUAGAAGCAGGAGGCUGCUAUUUUCCCAGCAUCACUCCACCCUUCCACUCAUGUGUGAAUAGGAAAAAGGAAAAUUAUAGACUCUCUUCCUCAAAGCCCAAGUAUACCGAUGAAGGUGACCGUGGAUCAACUACACAGAAUUUUACAUCUUGUCUGAGGUCAGAGCCUUAAACCCAUGGGUUCUGUAUAGUUUUGAAAAACGGAUCUGGCGCCACUGAAAGUGGCUUUGUCGAAUUAUGGUCACUCUGCUCAGCAUCCAAAACUUCUGUCAAAGUUAAAAUCAAAACAUAUAUGGAUUAAAUUCAGAAAGAUUAAUCAUAAUUGCUCAUAUGCUAUAAUAGUGUUCAACCUUUCAGCCAUUUGAGGUAAAGAAAACAUUGUCUUUGCUUUGCUGCCAGGAGUGCCAAAGGGUUUAGGAAUAGAGACAUUGACACAAAACAAGAUUGAUAUAUAUACUCAUUUAUUAGCCUAUUAGGGCAUAAAUAAACACAGAAAUGUGAAUGUAAGUAAGGAAAGACAUCUGUGUGAUUUAUUAGCUGUAUUUCCAACUGGACAGUUGAGGCUUGGUGUCCUCACUGGAGCAUAGGCUUUGACAAUCUAUUUCAAUGAACAAAAUUUCCAAAAAUGACAAUAAUGCUUCAUGAAGCCUCAACAACCCCCAUCAUCAGAAACACUGACACCAGCCUUUCUGAAAUUAAUUCUAACAAGUUACAUGAAAUUGAAUGAAUUUAUUCCCAAUACUUUGUCCUCUGAUCAUACAGAUUUUCACAGCAUUGUGUUUAGAUAUACUACCUCUACUGUGCACAUGUAGGUGAUUUUGUCAUUUGAGAUUGCCUCAUCCUUCUGAGUCAGGUGUGUAGGCAGAUUCCUGGGGUUUAAUUUUUCAAAGCAAAAACAAUUGCUCCUUACAAAACACAGUGGCAGUCGUUUGUGCACACUGACAUUCAAUGGCUUACAAAGGCUUACAAAGGAUGACCACAAGAAGGGAGAAUUGUUUUCAGUGAGUCUCUUGAAGGGGAAACACUAGCAUGGUUAUCGGCAGUGAAGUAUGUGUCAACGAAGAAUGCAUGUCAUAUGCAAUUUCUGUAACACUUUGUGAUUAACCUAGACAACAAAUAAACACCACUUUAAGACUUUAACACUUCUGCAACAAAUAAACUUUUGAUUAUGCGGACACAGCAGCUACGAGCACUAUGGCAAGCACCACUCCAAUAUCACAUACAUCGUCAGUGAACCCCUUAGUCCCGUAGCAUGUUAAAUGUUUGAAUCCACAUGUCAGCCGUCGUUGAUAGGUCCAGCAAUGUUGGAGGUUUGCCUUAGAAUGGAUGUCCCCUUGGUUUGCUUGCUCAGGACUGGCAGUGGAUCAAAUCUGUGUUGAUCUGCGUUUCUGUAUGGCCAGCAAAUAUCUGUAUCUCUCUUCCUGUUUUGUCCUCUGUGUCAAUCUGUCACGACUAGAUCCACCCAAAACUGUCUCUUGGUAGAUGAUAUGUAAGUCCGUUUCUGAUGUCUCACCAGCGAUUAUAAUAUUGUUAUUGUUAUUGAUGAACUAAUCUGGUUCAGGGUGACCACCUAUUUUGUUCUCAUUGUUUUGUUUCGGUUAACGUUCUCAACGCUUCUUGUUUCAAUUGUUUUCAUUGCUGUGAUAUUUUAAGAUUGUCUGGUCACUUAUUUCCUUGAGUUGUGUAGAGUUGAGUAUG